rnacentral:rRNA from 1 species
GGGGGGCAAGUAGAGUGGCGCACGGGUGAGUAACACGUAGGUAAUCUACCUUUGGAUUGGGAAUAACCACCGGAAACGGUGGCUAAUACCGAAUAAUGCAGCGGCACCUAAUGGUGACAGUUGUUAAAGCGGGGGAUCGCAAGACCUCGCGUCUGAAGAGGAGCCUGCGGCAGAUUAGCUAGUUGGUAAGGUAAUGGCUUACCAAGGCUAUGAUCUGUAGCCGGCCUGAGAGGGCGGUCGGCCACACUGACACUGACAUACGGGUCAGACUCCUACGGGAGGCAGCAGUCGGGAAUUUUGGGCAAUGGGCGCAAGCCUGACCCAGCAACGCCGCGUGAAGGAUGAAAUCCCUCGGGAUGUAAACUUCGCAAGAACGGGAAGAAUAAGUAAGGGUUAAUAUCUCUUACGAUGACGGUACUGUUUGUAAGCUCCGGCUAACUCCGUGCCAGCAGCCGCGGUAAUACGGGGGGAGCAAGCGUUGUUCGGAUUUACUGGGCGUAAAGGGCGCGUAGGCGGCCACCGCAAGUCGAUUGUGAAAUCUCCGGGCUUAACCCGGAAAGGUCAACCGAUACUGCGGGGCCAGAGUGCAGAAGGGGCAACUGGAAUUCUCGGUGUAGCGGUGAAAUGCGUAGAUAUCGAGAGGAACACCUGGCGGCGAAGGCGGGUUGCUGGGCUGACACUGACGCUGAUGUGCGAAAGCUAGGGGAGCGAACGGGAUUAGAUACCCCGGUAGUCCUAGCCUUAAACGAUGAAUGCUUGGUGUCUGGGGUUUUAUAGUCCCCGGGUGCCGUCGCUAACGCUUUAAGCAUUCCGCCUGGGGAGUACGGUCGCAAGACUGAAACUCAAAGGAAUUGACGGGGACCGCACAAGCGGUGGAGCAUGUGGUUUAAUUCGACGCA